AACGAACGCUGGCGGCAUGCCUAACACAUGCAAGUCGAACGAGACCUUCGGGUCUAGUGGCGCACGGGUGCGUAACGCGUGGGAAUCUGCCCCUUGGUUCGGAAUAACUUCGGGAAACUGAAGCUAAUACCGGAUAAUGACGUAAGUCCAAAGAUUUAUCGCCAAGGGAUGAGCCCGCGUAGGAUUAGCUAGUUGGUGGGGUAAAGGCUCACCAAGGCGACGAUCCUUAGCUGGUCUGAGAGGAUGAUCAGCCACACUGGGACUGAGACACGGCCCAGACUCCUACGGGAGGCAGCAGUGGGGAAUAUUGGACAAUGGGGCGAAAGCCUGAUCCAGCAAUGCCGCGUGAGUGAUGAAGGCCUUAGGGUUGUAAAGUCCUUUCGGUCGGGGACGGAUGAUGACGGUACCCGCAGAAGAAGCCCGGCUAACUUCGUGCCAGCAGCCGCG
rnacentral:rRNA from 1 species